UUGUCCAUAAUAAUGAAUGAACUUGUAUAAUAAUAUAAAUUUCUCAUCAUACCGAGUCAUAUGUUUUUGUAGUCAUGGGAGUAAAGUGUUCCCGAUGUACAUGUCAACGACACUGAUGACAUUUUAAUAAGGAUUUGUGUAACUUAUGAAUGACCUUCAUUUACUUGAAAAACUCAAUCUGUCCACGAUAACAUUGUAGAUAAUUGAAAUCUGUUUAUGAGUUUUGAUAACAACAAUAAUGAAUUGACAAGAGAUCACAGUGCACUACAUAACAUCAUAUUGCUAUCUUAUUUCAGGACAGUAUCCAUGUUACCUGCCCGGCCCCCUCCAUUACAGUUGGGACAUUGCCUGCCAGUCUUCUUCCCUAAUCAUGCCUAACCGAUUGGUCCAAUAGUGUUCAAAACUUGAUGGAAAUGCGGUGUCAUCGUAGUUUGGAGUAUGUGCAGAGCACUCGGGACAACAAGCAGUUUAUUUCUUCGAUGAGACUGAAUUGAAAGGGAGCAGACACUGUUGUGAGCAUGAUGAUCACUUCUUCAAGUACCAUGGCUUGGAGAUAAAAAGCCGAAAUUGGCACUUUGGUCUUAGCAGCAAACAGGCCUGGCUUUGUGCGGUGCAGGUUUGCUCCAUCGGUGAUGGUUUAGUUUUCCUGAUGAAAACCAGAGCAGUUGUGUACCCUGAACUCCUUUCCGAAUUCUUCAUCAAGGGGAUGGAUCUUGAAUGGCAGUGGUAUUAACAUGACAAGAUCAGAGAAUACAGCAGAUUAGACAUUGAAAAAGACAGUGUGCCAUAGACAGUCUCAACCAAAGCAUUGAACAAACUGUACAACCUGUUAAUUAACUUUUUAGAGCUGUUUGUUUGGACAAGUGUUUGUCAUUCAGAAAUAAGUAAUAACAUUAUUUCUCAGUAUAAGAAAUCUGCAGGAAUUAGAAGCUGAUAUUUACUUUAACUAUAUAUACAAACCUCUUAGGGGUUUAGCCAGGUUAAAGAAAGACAGGGAGCUACAGAAAAGAGACAGGUUUCCAUGUUUCAAUAGGACACCCUUCAUUUAUCUGUGAAUAAUUUUAACAUUUUGAAUGUUACAGAAAAUGUUAGGAAUAGUGUAUAAUGUUUUAUUGAAGUACUAUUAGGUUUUAAGUGCCAAAUAUUUAAAGCCUGUGUGUAUUUAUAAUCUUGUGAAUAUAAAGUUGUUAUCAAAACAAAAUCAAUAUUUGACUGUCUUAAGCUUUUAAUUCUAUGAAGGCAGGAGGUUGCCAAUCUUACUCUUCAUGACGGGUGCUUCCAAAAAAGAACAGGGUGUAGAAACCUUCCAUAUCUCUUGCUAGAACCCUAAUAUCCUUUUUUCAUCAAAUUACAGUAACAUUGACAAUUAACAAAUGAUGCAGUGAUAUUUUUUUAUGCUAAUAUCAUCAAUUUUUAUUGUCAUUAAGUUUUCUUCUAGAAUUGAUUUGUACAUGUAAUGUAUUGAAAAAUUGAUACUUGAGGUUGCCAUGGUUACAACUUGUUUCUUAGUGUAGUAAUAUGUUUUAUAUAUAUAAAUACAAUAUUGCAUUAUGUAAACUUAUAAUAUUUUAAGAGAUAAUGAUUCAAACACAUGUACAGAGACAAUAAAUACACUACUUUGUAUUUUUGUUGCCAUGGCAAUGUUUCUGUGUAUAUUUGUUACAUUUAUUGUUUUUUAUUACAGGAUUGUCCAUUAGUGAAAUUAUAAUGUGUAUAAUAAGCAUAGCUACAAAAUGCAUAGAUACAUGAAAAUACCUAUUUAUGGAUUUAUAUUUUCUUCAUAUUUCGAUAAUAGAAUAGAUUUUGUACACUGACCCCCCUUGGACUUAAAUCACCUUAGCAACAAAAGUCUUAAACAUUUUGAAUAAAAAAAAAAAUAUAUAUAUAUAAUUUGUAAUAACCAAUGCUUAGGUUAUUUGAGUACUUUUUAAGAGCGGCGUGUGUGAUCCCUUUUACUUUUAAUAUUGAAUUGCAUCGU